rnacentral:rRNA from 1 species
CACGUAGGAGGCGAGCGUUGUCCGGAACCAUUGGGCGUAAAGAGCGCGCAGGCGGCUUGGCAAGUCGGGUGUGAAAUCCCGGGGCUCAACCCCGGGACUGCAUUCGAUACUGUCAGGCUAGAGGUAGGUAGGGGAGAUCGGAAUUCCUGGUGUAGCGGUGAAAUGCGCAGAUAUCAGGAGGAACACCGGUGGCGAAGGCGGAUCUCUGGGCCUUACCUGACGCUCAGGCGCGAAAGCGUGGGGAGCGAACAGG